rnacentral:lncRNA from 1 species
UAUAAUAUUAUCUAGAUGAUAUCAAAUAUUAUUAAGCAUAUGCAAAUUUCAAACAAUAUAAUGAAAUUCAUUAUUAAUGAAUGACAUGUAUCAUUAUGCAUAGAGUGACACUACCUAUUCUAUAUGACAUGUUAUCAUGGCAUGUAAUCAUUCAAAACAUAACAUAUAGAAAAACAAUUAAAUAAUCUUAAUUCAUGGCUUUCCUAAUAAUGAAAAAUACAUUAACCCUAAGCCUAAUCUUCAUUGGGCUUCUUGUCAAUGUCCAUCUUCCAUAAGUUUGUCUUUGUUAAUGGACUAGGGGAAAUUGGGCUUUUAAAUUUAUAAUUGGUCCAAUUUUAAUUU